rnacentral:lncRNA from 1 species
CCACCACACAAUCUCCAGGGAGGGUAAAGGAGCUUUAGGUUGAGCUGAUCACCCAUGUCCCAUGAUGUAAUCAAUCAGGACAUAAUGAAGCCUCCAUGAAAAAUCAAAAGGACUGGUUCAGAAAGUUUCUGGAUUGCUGAACACAUGGUCUCACUUUGUCAACCAGGAUAGAGUACAGUGGCAUGAACAUGGCUCACAGCUGCCUCAACCUCUCAAGCUCCAGCGAUCCUCCCUCAGCCUCCUGAGUAGCUGGGACCACAAGGAUGCGCCACCACCCCUGGCUAGUUCUGUUCAUUUUUUGUAGGGACAAGGCCUCACUAUGUUGUCCAUGACUCAAGCAAUCCUUCUGCCUCAGCCUUCCAAAGUGCUGGGAGUACAGGCGUUUGAGUCACCGUGCCUGGCCAGAUCUUGGUUUCUAAUGCCAUUAUCCAAUAAAAGGAAUGGGGACUCCUUGGAGAAAUGACUGAUUCUAGGAGCCGGGCAGGAAAUAUGCAAGAUGAGCCUGGAGCAUUUUGUAGUACCACAAAGUAGGAAAGUAUUAAAAUACACACACACACACACACACACACACACACACACACACAAUGUCAAAAGAACCAGAGGCCAACCAAAAGAGCACCUGAUGGCCAAAGCUGGAACAAUUUGAGCAACAAAAUAAAUGAAGUAAUACUGGAUUAAAACCCAAAGUGUAAAAUAAAUAUCCAUAUCAGUAUGACUCCACACUGAUAUAAAUGAUUGAACAGAUGAGGAAAAAUAAAGUCUCUGAUGCAGAAUUACAAAUAAUUUGUGUAGAUAUUUUGCCCUCAAGGAGGUAGAGUACAACUCUCCACUCCUUAGGUGUGGGCUAUGCAUAGUGACUUUCAUCUAAAGAGUACAGUAUGGAAAAGGGGGGAAAGUAUCUUUACAGCAGAGAAACCUGAUAAACUACCUUAAGACCAAGGUCAACAUCAGUAGUGAUAAGUCAUAUUGAUAGGAUGUACCCUUGAUAGGAAGUAAUGAGAAUGAUACUUUACCUCUCUGGGUCUUCCUCCCAAAAACACAUUAUCAAGUCUAAUAAUGACAAAAACAUCACACAAAUCCCAACUGAGGCAAUCUUACAAAUAUCUGACCAACAACCCUCAAAACUGUCAAGAUCAUCAAAAACAAAGCAAGUCUGAGAAACAAUCACAACCAAGAAAACUGUAAGGAGAAAUGAGUACUAGACAUAAUGUGGUAUCCUGGAUGGUAUUCAGGAACAGGAAAAAGACAUUAGGAAAAAAACCUGAGGAAAUCUGAAUAAAAUAUGAACUUUAGUUAACAAUAAUGUAUCAAUAUCAGUUUACUAAUGUUAAAAAUAUACUAUACUAAUAUAUUAAUAAUAGAGGAAACUGCAGUGUGGGGUAUAUAGGGACUCUGUACUAUCUUCACAAUAAAUCUGUAAAUCUAAAACCGUGUGUGUGGUUUUUUUAGACUAGGUCUUGCUUUGCCCAACAUGACAUACUGAGGACACAUCACCUCUGUAUUCUUCCCAAAAAUCUACUAUCUAAUCGUGGAAAAAAAUCAGACAAACCCCGACUGGCAUUUUGUAAAACACCUGGCCGAUACUCUAUGAACGCAUCAAUGCUAUGAAAUGCAAGGAGAUACUAUCACAGAUUGGAGGAGACUAAGGAAGACAUAACCACUAAAUGCAAUGUGAUAGCCUAGAUUGAAUCCUGGUCAUCCUAGGUGACAAUAAAUUAUGACUUGUGAAAAUCUGAAUAGGAUGAAAGUUUACCACUACCCUAACCACAAUAGAAGAGAGUUCCAAAUCCAAUCACAGUGCUGCACAUCAGUUUUGAAGUCAGCUAAACAUUGAGUCUUAGCACCCUCAGU